CGCGGCCUAUCAGCUUGUUGGUGGGGUAACGGCCUACCAAGGCAUCGACGGGUAGCUGGUCUGAGAGGAUGAUCAGCCACACUGGGACUGAGACACGGCCCAGACUCCUACGGGAGGCAGCAGUGGGGAAUCUUGCGCAAUGGGCGAAAGCCUGACGCAGCAACGCCGCGUGCGGGAAGACGGCCUUCGGGUUGUAAACCGCUUUCAGCAGGAACGAAAAUGACGGUACCUGCAGGAGAAGGUGCGGCCAACUACGUGCCAGCAGCCGCGGUGACACGUAGGCACCAAGCGUUGUCCGGAUUUAUUGGGCGUAAAGAGCUCGUAGGCGGUUCAGCAAGUCGGGUGUGAAAACUCUGGGCUUAACCCAGAGCCUGCACCCGAAACUGCUGUGACUAGAGUUCGGUAGGGGAGCGGGGAAUUCCUGGUGUAGCGGUGAAAUGCGCAGAUAUCAGGAGGAACACCGGUGGCGAAGGCGCCGCUCUGGGCCGACACUGACGCUGAGAAGCGAAAGCGUGGGUAGCAAACAGGAUUAGAUACCCUGGCAGUCCACGCCGUAAACGUUGGGCACUAGGUGUGGGUCUCAACCAACGAGAUCCGCGCCGUCGCUAACGCAUUAAGUGCCCCGCCUGGGGAGUACGG
rnacentral:rRNA from 1 species